rnacentral:rRNA from 1 species
CUACGGGGUGCACCAGUGAGGAAUAUUGCACAAUGGGGGGAACCCUGAUGCAGCAACGCCGCGUGGAGGAUGACGCAUUUCGGUGUGUAAACUCCUUUUAUAUGUCAAGAAAAUGACGGUAGCAUAUGAAUAAGCACCGGCUAACUCCGUGCCAGCAGCCGCGGUAAUACGGAGGGUGCAAGCGUUACUCGGAAUCACUGGGCGUAAAGGACGCGUAGGCGGGUUGGAAAGUCAGGUGUGAAAUCCUACAGCUUAACUGUAGAACUGAACUUGAAACUUCUAAUCUAGAGUAUGGGAGGGGGAGAUGGAAUUCGUGGUGUAGGGGUAAAAUCCGUAGAUAUCACUAGGAAUACCUAAAGCGAAGGCGAUCUCCUGGAACAUUACUGACGCUAAGGCGUGAAAGCGUGGGGAGCAAACAGGAUUAGAUACCCCUGUAGUC